ensembl:lncRNA
CUUUCCUAGUCCUGCUCACCACACCAUUCCUGUUACAAGACAGGAUGCCAUUGGCCUUCUUGGCCACCUGGGCACACUGCUGGCUCAUAUUUAGCCAACUGUCCAUCAGUGUACCAAGGUCCCUUUCCAUCAGGCAGUGUUCCGGACACUCCUCCCCAAGCCUGUAGGGUUGGCUGGGAUUGUGACCAAAAUGCAGGACCCGAUACUUGGCCCAUCGAUCCAGUCUAUCGAGGUCCCUCUGUAGUGCCCUUCUCCCUUCCAGCAGAUCAAAACUCUCUCCCAGCUUGGUGUCAUCUCCAAACUUACUGAAGGUGCACUCAAUCCUCUCAUCAAGAUCAUCAAUGAAGAUGUUAAACAGAAGCAGCCCCAGCACUGAGCCUUGGGGGACACCGCUUGUGACCGGCCGCCAACUGGAUUCAAC